AGAGUUUGAUCCUGGCUUCAGAACGAAGGCUGGCGGCAUGCCUAACACAUGCGAGUCGAACGCUUACGCCGGUUUUGGCCGGGUAGGAGUGGCGCACGGGUGAGUAGCGCGUGGGAACCUGCCCGUGUUGUGGGGGAUAACCGAGGGAAACUUCUAGCUAAUACCGCAUAAGCCGGUUGUCUUGAGAGAGAGGGCCGGGAAAGAUUUAUCGCGACAGGAGGGGCCCGCGUCGGAUUAGCUAGUUGGUGGGGUAACGGCCUACCAAGGCACCGAUCCGUAGCUGGUCUGAGAGGAUGAUCAGCCACACUGGGACUGAGACACGGCCCAGACUCCUACGGGAGGCAGCAGUGGGGAAUAUUGGACAAUGGGCGCAAGCCUGAUCCAGCAAUGCCGCGUGAGUGAUGAAGGCCUUCGGGUUGUAAAGCUCUUUCGGCGGGGACGAUGAUGACGGUACCCGCAGAAGAAGCCCCGGCUAACUUCGUGCCAGCAGCCGCGGUAAUACGAAGGGGGCGAGCGUUGUUCGGAUUUACUGGGCGUAAAGGGCGCGUAGGCGGCGCGAGAAGUCAGGCGUGAAAGCCCCGGGCUCAACCUGGGAAUGGCGCUUGGGACUCUCGUGCUCGAGUUCGGGAGAGGAGAGUGGAAUUCCCAGUGUAGAGGUGAAAUUCGUAGAUAUUGGGAAGAACACCGGUGGCGAAGGCGGCUCUCUGGACCGAGACUGACGCUGAGGCGCGAAAGCGUGGGGAGCAAACAGGAUUAGAUACCCUCGUAGUCC
rnacentral:rRNA from 1 species